CUGGUCUGCGCUGUUGCCCUUCUAUUUAUUUACAUCCUUCUCUUCCUCACCCACCUCCCCUUGCUCCUCCUCUUCUUUCGUUUGCACUCGUAGCUUGAAGCUUCAGGGACUCGUAGUUCUGCAAGAUGAGUUAUUACAAUCAGGCACCUCCAAACUAUGGGGUACCCUACCCUGCACCAGGGUACGGGUACCCUCCAUACGGGUACCCUCCACAGGCGGGGUACCCUCCGCCACCGCCGGCAGGUUACCCUACGGGUGCCCCGCCACCGCAGUACGCGCAGCAGCCUCCACCUCCCCAGCAGCAGCAGGGCAGCCUUGGUUAUCUCGGAACAACUCUUUCGGGUAUUUGGUGCAUCAGUUCCUUCGUUAACUGUAUCUCCAAUCUGUCAUGCCUGUGCUGCUAACCAGGGAUUGCUACUGGCACGACGCGUUUGAGGUUGCAGUUGAACGCUUUCGUUUCUCCCAGUCCAUUUUUUUCGACUUUGUGUAAAUUAGAUGUGAUUAGACUUGAAGGCUUUGUACGUUCUAUCGUCUAUUGCAAUUUGUGUGUGUAGUAUGCAGCGUGAUGUAGUGAUUUUGUAAAUAUAUUCAUAUUAAUCUAAGUGCAUAGGUAGUCUGAAAAUGACCAACAAUGUUGGCAUAAAUAAAAACCACGGAAAUGUAAUGUGUAGAAUAGAUGUUAUAAGCCAAGAAAGAAUUAAACCCACCGAUUUUUAAAUCCCUUUGGUCAAUUCAAUCGGCACAUCAAAUUUUCUUGAUUUUUAUGUCUUGUGGUUUCCUACACAAGUACAAUGUAUAUUUUUAACCUUGAUUCAUUAAAUUUUGUAACACUUAGACCAAUCCAAUCAUCAUGUCUGGUUUCCAUAA